GACGAACGCUGGCGGCGUGCCUAACACAUGCAAGUCGAACGGAGAAUUAGCAAUAAUUCUUAGUGGCGAACGGGUGAGUAACGCGUAGACAACCUACCUCUUAGAUGGGGACAACAUCGCGAAAGCGGUGCUAAUACCGAAUGAAGUGACUUUCCUGCAUGGGAGAGAUACUAAAGGUGGCCUCUGUUUAUAAGCUACCACUGAGAGAUGGGUCUGCGUCUGAUUAGCUAGUUGGCGGGGUAACGGCCCACCAAGGCGACGAUCAGUAGCCGGUCUGAGAGGAUGAACGGCCACAUUGGGACUGAGACACGGCCCAAACUCCUACGGGAGGCAGCAGUGGGGGAUCUUCCGCAAUGGACGAAAGUCUGACGGAGCAACGCCGCGUGAGUGAAGAAGGUUUUCGGAUCGUAAAGCUCUGUUGUUUGAGACGAAUGUGCCUGUUUCGAAUAGGGAUAGGUAAUGACGGUAUUAAACGAGAAAGCCACGGCUAACUACGUGCCAGCAGCCGCAGUAA
rnacentral:rRNA from 1 species